rnacentral:rRNA from 2 species
UGAGGAAUAUUGGUCAAUGGGCGCGAGCCUGAACCAGCCAAGUAGCGUGAAGGAUGACUGCCCUAUGGGUUGUAAACUUCUUUUAUAUUAGAAUAAAGUGCAGUAUGUAUACUGUUUUGUAUGUAUAAUAUGAAUAAGGAUCGGCUAACUCCGUGCCAGCAGCCGCGGUAAUACGGAGGAUCCGAGCGUUAUCCGGAUUUAUUGGGUUUAAAGGGAGCGUAGGUGGACUGGUAAGUCAGUUGUGAAAGUUUGCGGCUCAACCGUAAAAUUGCAGUUGAUACUGUCAGUCUUGAGUACAGUAGAGGUGGGCGGAAUUCGUGGUGUAGCGGUGAAAUGCUUAGAUAUCACGAAGAACUCCGAUUGCGAAGGCAGCUCACUGGACUGCAACUGACACUGAUGCUCGAAAGUGUGGGUAUCAAACAGG